GAGUUUGAUCGUGGCUCAGGACGAACGCUGGCGGUGUGCUUAAUACAUGCAAGUCGAACGAGACUUUCGGGUCUAGUGGCGGACGGCUGAGUAACGCGUAGGUAACGUACCUCUUACUGGGGGAUAACAUCGGGAAACCGGUGCUAAUACCGCAUAAGUCGUGUCUUGAAAUAGAUACGAUUAAAGAUUUAUCGGUAAGAGAUUGGCCUGCGUCUGAUUAGCUAGUUGGUAGGGUAAUGGCCUACCAAGGCGAUGAUCAGUAGUUGGUCUGAGAGGAUGACCAGCCAGAGUGGGACUGAGAACGGCCCACACUUCUACGGAAGGCAGCAGUAGGGAAUUUUGCGCAAUGGGCGAAAGCCUGACGCAGCAACACCGCGUGCGGGAUGAAGGCCUUUGGGUUGUAAACCGCUGUCAGCAGGGAAUAAAUUGACUGUACCUGCAAAGGAAGCACCGGCUAACUACGUGCCAGCCGCCGCGGUAAU
rnacentral:rRNA from 1 species